rnacentral:ncRNA from 1 species
GAUAGGUCGCUGUCGCUACGGUGAUUGGACACCGACACAGGGUCAACUAGCCUUGGUCGCGCGGUUCUUCGCGCGUUGAACCGCGACCGGCGGUCCGAGCCACGAGGGGGGAGGCUCGGGCCGUCCGCU